rnacentral:rRNA from 1 species
UACAGAGGUCUCAAGCGUUGUUCGGAUUCAUUGGGCGUAAAGGGUGUGUAGGUGGCGCCGUUAGUCGGGUGUGAAAUUUCGGAGCUUAACUCCGAAACUGCAUUCGAUACUGCGGUGCUUGAGGACUGGAGAGGAGACUGGAAUUCAUGGUGUAGCAGUGAAAUGCGUAGAGAUCAUGAGGAAGACCAGUGGCGAAGGCGGGUCUCUGGACAGUUCCUGACACUGAGACACGAAGGCCAGGGGAGCAA